UUCUGGGGAUAUGCACUCACUCAGGUGCUUGGAGGCCUGAUGGCUGACCGGGUGGGUGGUGCUCGCAUCAUGGUGGCCAUGUCGACAGUAGGUGCCGUCAGCCUGCUGCUCUUCCCACCGCUGGUCUCCAUCUGGCCACAGGCUGCCAUCCUGCUCCGCUGCCUGCUUGGCCUGGUCCAGGGCCCUCACUACCCGAGCCUGGGCAGCCUGAGCAGUCAGCUGGUGCCGGCGCCGCGUCGUCCGCUGUUCUUCAGCACGGCC